GAUGAACGCUGGCGGCGUGCCUAAUACAUGCAAGUCGAGCGAACGGACGAGAAGUUUGCUUCUCUGAUGUUAGCGGGGGACGGGUGAGUAACAUGUGGAUAACCUACUUAUUAGACUGGGAUAACUUCGGGAAACAGUAGCUAAUACUGGAUAAUAUUUUGAACCGCAUGGUUCAAAAGUGAAUGACGGUCUUGCUGUCACUUAUAGAUGGUUCCGCGCUGGAUUAGCUAGGUGGUAAGGUAACGGCCUAGCAAGGGAACGAUGCAUAGCCGACCUGAGAGGGUGAUCGGCCACACUGGAACUGAGACACGGUCCAGACUCCUACGGUAGGCAGCAGUAGGGAAUCUUCGGCAAUGGGCGCAAGCCUGACGCAGCAACGCCGCGUGUGUGAGGAAGGUCUUCGGAUCGUAAAGCUCUGUUUUUAGGGAAGAACAUCUGUUUAAGUAAACGUGGCCGUCUUGACGGUACCGAAACAGAAAGCCACGGCUAACUUCGUG
rnacentral:rRNA from 1 species